rnacentral:lncRNA from 10 species
CCCGGGAGGUGGAGGUUGCAGUGAGCUGAGAUGGCACCACUGCACUCCAGCCUGAUGACACAGCUAAACUCCAUCUUAAAAAAAAAAAGAGUAGUAUCACCCCAAGGAGUUGUGGAGACUAAAUGAAAUGUUUACUUCUUUAAGGAGUAGCCAUUUUGUUAUGAUUUUCACCCUUGGACUUGUGUUUUCACCAUUGGACUUGUAUUUUAAUAGAGUUUAAAACAUAGUGGUAUGUUUCCAUUUUUAUGUGUUGCUUUUGUUUUAUUGAGGACUAUCAGAGAUUUCUGAAAUUUUUCUGUUUAAUGAAGAUUUAAAUUGCUACGAACACCUACUAACCUCCCUGCCCAGUGCCUCUAUUCCUUUGCAGAACAGCUAUCUUGCUUUGUCAAUUAUGUGUUUCAAGUUGUAUCUGUCAAUCACAGAAACCUGCCUUCUUGGCCACAGUGAUUUGUCCAUGGGUGGAAAUAGCUAACCCAAAGUAGACCAGUGAGUUGUUUUUCUUAGAAUGUUAACUUGAGUCAGUUCCUGCAGGCAAAGCUGUGAGUUAUUAGACCCCAGGACACAAGA